rnacentral:tRNA from 1 species
UGACUCAGUUGGUAGAGCAUGGCACUUAAAAAGCCAGGAUUGUGAGUUCAAUUCCCAC